rnacentral:rRNA from 1 species
AGAGUUUGAUCCUGGCUCAGAUUGAACGCUGGCGGCAUGCCUAACACAUGCAAGUCGAACGGCAACAUGGUGCAGCUUGCUGCACUGAUGGCGAGUGGCGAACGGGUGAGUAACGCGUAGGAAUAUGCCCUGAAGAGUGGGGCAACUUGGGGAAACUCAAGCUAAUACCGCAUAAGCUCGAGAGAGGAAAGCUGGGGACCUUCGGGCCUGGCGCUUCAGGAAUAGCCUGCGUACGAUUAGCUAGUUGGUGGGGUAAGGGCCUACCAAGGCGACGAUCGUUAGCUGGUCUGAGAGGAUGGCCAGCCACACUGGGACUGAGACACGGCCCAGACUCCUACGGGAGGCAGCAGUGGGGAAUAUUGGACAAUGGGGGAAACCCUGAUCCAGCAAUGCCGCGUGUGUGAAGAAGGCCUGAGGGUUGUAAAGCACUUUCAGUGGGGAGGAGAGAUGGCGGGUUAAGAGCUGGCUAUUGAGACGUUACCCACAGAAGAAGCACCGGCUAACUCCGUGCCAGCAGCCGCGGUAAU